rnacentral:rRNA from 1 species
AGAGUUUGAUCCUGGCUCAGAUUGAACGCUGGCGGCAUGCCUUACACAUGCAAGUCGAACGGCAGCGCGGGGCAACCUGGCGGCGAGUGGCGAACGGGUGAGUAAUAUAUCGGAACGUACCCUGGAGUGGGGGAUAACGUAGCGAAAGUUACGCUAAUACCGCAUACGAUCUAAGGAUGAAAGUGGGGGAUUCGCAAGAACCUCAUGCUCCUGGAGCGGCCGAUAUCUGAUUAGCUAGUUGGUGGGGUAAAGGCCUACCAAGGCAUCGAUCAGUAGCUGGUCUGAGAGGACGACCAGCCACACUGGGACUGAGACACGGCCCAGACUCCUACGGGAGGCAGCAGUGGGGAAUUUUGGACAAUGGGGGCAACCCUGAUCCAGCAAUGCCGCGUGAGUGAAGAAGGCCUUCGGGUUGUAAAGCUCUUUUGUCAGGGAAGAAACGGUGGUCUCUAAUACAGAUCACUAAUGACGGUACCUGAAGAAUAAGCACCGGCUAACUACGUGCCAGCAGCCGCGGUAAUACGUAGGGUGCAAGCGUUAAUCGGAAUUACUGGGCGUAAAGCGUGCGCAGGCGGUUUUGUAAGUCUGUCGUGAAAUCCCCGGGCUCAACCUGGGAAUUGCGAUGGAGACUGCAAGGCUAGAAUCUGGCAGAGGGGGGUAUAAUUCCACGUGUAGCAGUGAAAUGCGUAGAGAUGUGGAGGAACACCGAUGGCGAAGGCAGCCCCCUGGGUCAAGAUUGACGCUCAUGCACGAAAGCGUGGGGAGCAAACAGGAUUAGAUACCCUGGUAGUCCACGCCCUAAACGAUGUCUACUAGUUGUCGGGUUUUAAUUAACUUGGUAACGCAGCUAACGCGUGAAGUAGACCGCCUGGGGAGUACGGUCGCAAGAUUAAAACUCAAAGGAAUUGACGGGGACCCGCACAAGCGGUGGAUGAUGUGGAUUAAUUCGAUGCAACGCGAAAAACCUUACCUACCCUUGACAUGGAAGGAAUCCUUGAGAGAUCAGGGAGUGCUCGAAAGAGAACCUUUACACAGGUGCUGCGUGGCUGUCGUCAGCUCGUGCCGUGAGAUGUUGGGUUAAGUCCCGCAACGAGCGCAACCCUUGUCAUUAGUUGCUACGAAAGAGCACCUGGCUAUAGAGUCAAUUCAUUAAGCGUCCACU